GUCUUAGAGUUUGCAAGACCUCCAUGCACACCUUCCCUGAGCUUGUCAGAAACAGCUGCAAUCUGCUCAUCUUCCAAAUGAGGAUAAUCACCUCUACCCUUCGUCCCUCAUGGACUGCUGUGAUGAUUGAAUGAGAUAAUGGACGGGAAAUAAUUUCGCAAAGAAGAGGGCACAACAAAUGGCAGUAGGGUGCAGAUCACAAAUUCCCUCAUUGUUAUUGUUAUCGUGUUAAUUUGACUGUUAACUAUUCUAUGUCCACCUUUGUAAAAGAAGCAUGUGUCCAUCAUUUUACUUUUUAACCAAUCUCAAAGGUUUCCCGUUUUCCUUUCUCCCACCUCCAUAAUCUAUCACCAAUGGAUUUCACCUAUGUCUCCUCCUUUGAUGGUAAUUUAUAAAAAUAGAUGGAAAA